GGUUAUUUUUUGCUCUCACUCGGCUCCUCUUCCACAUGCGAGCACACACGCACCACACACACACACACACACACGCUCACUCACGCUGCAUCCCUCCCGUUCUGUUGCACUUAAGUCCAGAUUAGCUCUGACCAUUCCCGCACGCGAGCGGAGAGCGACGCAACACCGCGCUGCCUAAGACCAUAGAAACUGCCACAGAGGUGGGGGGCAGAGACCGUCUUCAAGGUUGCUGUCAUCUGGAAUUUUAUGUCCUUCAUUUUCUUUCACUCUGUAUGCCUGUCACAUCGGCUUAACUACCAGAGAAGACCCCGUUUGCCUUACAGCCUGUCUGGUUUCUUCCAGCCUUAUUAGCUGAUGUAAAGAAAGAAGAUAGGACUUCCUACAGUCCCGGGCAUUGCUCUGCAACUCACCUUGGAGAUUGGAAAGACUGCGGAGCUUUCUGGGAAGAACCUUUCUUUUGCUUUUAUUUCUGCACCCUGUAAGCUGUGUAAUUAAUGCUACACAAGCACAGAUAUGCAUAACUCUAACGAGUGACUAUUUUUCAGAAUCAAUGCCAUAAAUGCAGCCUAUUGUGAUUUGUGGUUUUAAGCUGCGCAGCAGAGGCUGAUCAGCACUGCAUCCGCAGUCUAGAGGCAAACUCCUGUGUUUAUACAGGCAAAUUACGGGUCUGGAUGAACAGCGAGAGCAAGCUCUUCA